GAUGAACGCUGGCGGCGUGCCUAAUACAUGCAAGUAGAACGCUGAAGGAGGAGCUUGCUCUUCUGGAUGAGUUGCGAACGGGUGAGUAACGCGUAGGUAACCUGCCUGGUAGCGGGGGAUAACUAUUGGAAACGAUAGCUAAUACCGCAUGACAACAGUUAUUGCAUGAUAACUGUUUAAAAGGGGCAACUGCUCCACUACCAGAUGGACCUGCGUUGUAUUAGCUAGUUGGUGAGGUAACGGCUCACCAAGGCGACGAUACAUAGCCGACCUGAGAGGGUGAUCGGCCACACUGGGACUGAGACACGGCCCAGACUCCUACGGGAGGCAGCAGUAGGGAAUCUUCGGCAAUGGACGGAAGUCUGACCGAGCAACGCCGCGUGAGUGAAGAAGGUUUCGGGUCGUAAAGCUCUGUUGUAAGAGAAGAACGAGUGUGAGAGUGGAAAGUUCACACUGUGACGGUAUCUUACCAGAAAGGGACGGCUAACUACGUG
rnacentral:rRNA from 1 species